UCAAGUUAUUAAGGGUGCAGGGCGGAUGCCUUGGCACUAGGAGCCGAUGAAGGACGUGAUAAGCUGCGAUAAGCUUCGGGGAGUUGCACGUAAACUUUGAUCCGAAGAUUUCCGAAUGAGGAAACUCACUUAGAGUAAUGUCUAAGUAUCGUUAAGUGAAUACAUAGCUUAGCGAGGGGAACCCGGGGAACUGAAACAUCUAAGUACCCGGAGGAAGAGAAAGAAAUUCGAUUCCGUAAGUAGCGGCGAGCGAACGCGGAAGAGCCCAAACCAAGGGGUUCUCUUUCGUUGGGGUUGCGGACAUACAACAUGGAUGCAAUAUCGUAAAUGAAGAGAGUUGGAAAGCUCCGCCAUAGAAGGUAAUAGCCCUGUAGUUGAAACGAGAAAGCUACUAGUAUGAUCCAGAGUACCACGGGACACGUGAAACCCUGUGGGAAGCAGGAGGGACCAUCCUCCAAGCCUAAAUACUACCUAGUGACCGAUAGCGUAUAGUACCGUGAGGGAAAGGUGAAAAGAACCCCGGGAGGGGAGUGAAAUAGAACCUGAAACCCUGCACUUACAAGCUGUGGGAGCACAUUACUUGUGUGACCGCGUACUUUUUGUAGAACGGGCCAACGAGUUACGUUAAGUAGCAAGGUUAAGCACUUAAGGUGUGGAGCCGUAGCGAAAGCGAGUCUUAAAUGGGCGAUUAAGUUACUUGGCGUAGACCCGAAACCGGGCGACCUAUCCAUGAGCAGGUUGAAGCGAAAGUAAAAUUUCGUGGAGGACCGAACCCACGAGCGUUGAAAAGCUCGGGGAUGACUUGUGGAUAGCGGUGAAAUUCCAAUCGAGCCCGGAGAUAGCUGGUUCUCCCCGAAAUAGCUUUAGGGCUAGCCUCAAGCGUAGAGAAACGGAGGUAGAGCACUGAAUGUCCUAGGGGGUAUUGCACUUACCGAAGACUAUCAAACUCCGAAUGCCGUUUUCUUUUACUUGGGAGUCAGACUGUGGGUGAUAAGAUUCAUAGUCAAAAGGGCAACAGCCCAGAUCGUCAGCUAAGGUCCCUAAAUGUAAGUUAAGUGGUAAAGGAUGUGGGAUUGCACAGACAACCAGGAUGUUGGCUUAGAAGCAGCCACUCAUUUAAAGAGUGCGUAAUAGCUCACUGGUCGAGUGAUCCUGCGCCGAAAAUUUCCGGGGCUAAAACGUACUACCGAAGCUACGGCAUCAUUUAUGAUGGGUAGGGGAGCUUCGUAUGCAGGCUGAAGCAUGACCGUAAGGACAUGUGGACAGUAUACGAGUGAGAAUGUUGGCAUGAGUAGCGAGACGUGGGUGAGAAUCCCACGGGCCGUAAACCCAAGGUUUCCAGGGGAAGGUUCGUCCGCCCUGGGUUAGUCGGGACCUAAGCCGAGGCCGAAAGGCGUAGGUGAUGGACAACAGGUUGAUAUUCCUGUACCGCCAAUAAGCGUUUGAGAGAUGGAGUGACACAGUAGGAUAAGCUAACCGUACUGUUGGUUAUGUACGGCUAAGCAUUGAGGCAGUCUAAAUAGGCAAAUCCGUUUAGACAAUGCUAGGAUGUGAUGGGGAAGCCCUUCGGGGCGAAGUAGCUGAUUUCACACUGUCAAGAAAAGCUUCUAUCGAGUUUAAAGGCGCCCGUACCGUAAACCGACACAGGUGGGUGAGGAGAGUAUCCUAAGGCCAGCGAGAGAACUAUUGUUAAGGAACUCGGCAAAAUGACCCCGUAACUUAGGGAGAAGGGGUGCCUGUCUAUGACAGGCCGCAGAGAAUAGGCCCAAGCGACUGUUUACCAAAAACACAGGUUUCUGCUAAGUCGCAAGACGAUGUAUAGGAGCUGACGCCUGCCCGGUGCUGGAAGGUUAAGGGGAUCUGUUAGAGCAAUCGAAGCAGUGAACUUAAGCCCCAGUAAACGGCGGCCGUAACUAUAACGGUCCUAAGGUAGCGAAAUUCCUUGUCGGGUAAGUUCCGACCCGCACGAAAGGCGUAAUGAUUUGAGCGCUGUCUCGACAAUGCAUCCGGUGAAAUUGAAGUACCAGUGAAGAUGCUGGUUACC
rnacentral:rRNA from 1 species